AUGGACUCAAUUCUUUCUAAUGGAACUUGGGAACUAACUGAUAGACCAUAUGGUUGUAAACCUGUGGGCUGUAAGUGGGUGUUCAAAAAGAAGCUAAAGCCUGAUGGAUUUGUCAUUAACGAGGCUAAUAGGUGUGUUUACUAUCGCCAUGGUGGGGGCAAUAGUGUCAUAUUAUGUUUGUAUGUGGACGACAUAUUGAUCUUUGGUACAAACAUUAAUGCAAUUAAUGAGGUCAAGUCUUUUCUAUCAAAAAGUUUUGACAUGAAAGAUCUGGGAGAAGCCGAUGUAAUUCUAAACAUCAAACUUAUUAAGGAUGAGAGUGGGAUUACAUUAACGCAAUCUCACUAUGUUGAGAAGGUCUUGAACCGAUUCGGUUUUAUGGAUAGUACUAUGAGUUACGGAAUUACUUAUUCAGGGCAUCCUGCUGUGCUAGAAGGAUAUAGUGAUUCAAAUUGGAUCUCCGAUGUUGAUGUACUUUACGCAACAAGUGGGUAUGUAUUUACUCAUGGUGGUGGCGCAGUGUCAUGGAGGUCUUGUAAGCAAACCAUAUUGACGAGGUCAACUAUGGAAGCAGAAUUAACUGCUUUGGACACAGCUACUGUUGAGGCAGAAUGGCUGCGUGAGCUCUUGAUGGACUUGCCGGUUAUUGAAAAACCUGUACCGGCUAUUCUUAUGAAUUGUGAUAACCAAACGGUUAUCGCUAAAGUGAACAAAAUAAAGAUAAUGCAAAGU
rnacentral:rRNA from 1 species